rnacentral:rRNA from 1 species
CUUGGCGGCCAUAGCGCGGUGGUCCCACCUGAUCCCAUGCCGAACUCAGAAGUGAAACGCCGUAGCGCCGAUGGUAGUG